rnacentral:SRP_RNA from 1 species
GCCAGGUAUGGUGGUGCAUGCCUGUAAUCCCAACUACUUGGGAGGCUGAGGCGGAAGAAUCACUUGAACCUAGGAGGCAGAGGUUGCAUUGAACCAAGAUGGUACCACUGCACUCCAGCCUGGGUGACAGAGUGAGAUUCUGUCUCAA